rnacentral:rRNA from 1 species
UACGGGGGGGGGCAAGCGUUGUUCGGAAUUACUGGGCGUAAAGGCUCGUAGGCGGCCAACUAAGUCGGACGUGAAAUCCCUCGGCUUAACCGGGGAACUGCGUCCGAUACUGGAUGGCUUGAGUUUGGGAGAGGGAUGCGGAAUUCCAGGUGUAGCGGUGAAAUGCGUAGAUAUCUGGAGGAACACCGGUGGCGAAGGCGGCAUCCUGGACCAACACUGACGCUGAGGAGCGAAAGCCAGGGGAGCAAACGGG